GGAAGAGAGCUGUGGUUAGGGGUGGGCGAUAUCACGAUAUAUAUCGUCGUGACGAUAUUAGGUCUCCACGAUAUGCUUUUUCAGAGAUAUCG